rnacentral:rRNA from 4 species
CCUGGUGGUCAUGGCGGGGUGGCUGCACCCGUUCCCAUUCCGAACACGGCCGUGAAACGCCCCAGCGCCUAUGGUACUUCGUCUUAAGACGCGGGAGAGUCGGUCGCUGCCAGGU